rnacentral:rRNA from 1 species
AGCUCCGAUAGUAUAUGCAAAUAUUGUUGCGGUUAAAAAGCUCGUAGUUGGAUGUCGGCGGGGGCGGUCCGGUCCGCUUUUGGCGCGACUGGUCUCGACCCCCGUGAGCUGAGCGGAUGCCUUCAGGUGCUCUUAACCGAGUGUCUGUCGGCGCCGCUCGUUUUACCUUGAAAAAAUGAGAGUGCUCAAGGCAGGCUUUAUAAGCCCGAAUUCCCGUGCAUGGAAUAAUAAAAUAGGACGUUGGUUCUAUUUUGUUGGUUUUCGGACCCGACGUAAUGAUUGAUAGGGACAGUCGGGGGCGUUCGUAUUCAGACGCUAGAGGUGAAAUUCUUGGACCGUCUGAAGACGCACUACUGCGAAAGCAUUCGCCAAGAAUGUUUUCA